UGCAAGUCGAACGAACUCUUCGGAGUUAGUGGCGGACGGGUGAGUAACACGUGGGAACGUGCCUUUAGGUUCGGAAUAACUCAGGGAAACUUGUGCUAAUACCGAAUGUGCCCUUCGGGGGAAAGAUUUAUCGCCUUUAGAGCGGCCCGCGUCUGAUUAGCUAGUUGGUGAGGUAAUGGCUCACCAAGGCGACGAUCAGUAGCUGGUCUGAGAGGAUGAUCAGCCACAUUGGGACUGAGACACGGCCCAAACUCCUACGGGAGGCAGCAGUGGGGAAUCUUGCGCAAUGGGCGAAAGCCUGACGCAGCCAUGCCGCGUGAAUGAUGAAGGUCUUAGGAUUGUAAAAUUCUUUCACCGGGGACGAUAAUGACGGUACCCGGAGAAGAAGCCCCGGCUAACUUCGUGCCAGCAGCCGCGGUAAUACGAAGGGGGCUAGCGUUGCUCGGAAUUACUGGGCGUAAAGGGAGCGUAGGCGGACAUUUAAGUCAGGGGUGAAAUCCCGGGGCUCAACCUCGGAAUUGCCUUUGAUACUGGGUGUCUUGAGUAUGAGAGAGGUGUGUGGAACUCCGAGUGUAGAGGUGAAAUUCGUAGAUAUUCGGAAGAACACCAGUGGCGAAGGCGACACACUGGCUCAUUACUGACGCUGAGGCUCGAAAGCGUGGGGAGCAAACAGGAUUAGAUACCCUGGUAGUCCACGCCGUAAACGAUGAUUGCUAGUUGUCGGGAUGCAUGCAUUUCGGUGACGCAGCUAACGCAUUAAGCAAUCCGCCUGGGGAGUACGGUCGCAAGAUUAAAACUCAAAGGAAUUGACGGGGGCCCGCACAAGCGGUGGAGC
rnacentral:rRNA from 1 species